UCCCUGGUGGCUCAGCAGUCAAGAAUCUGCCUGCAGGGCAGGAGACCCAGGUUCAAUCCCUGGCUCAGGAA
rnacentral:tRNA from 1 species